rnacentral:rRNA from 1 species
GACGAACGCUGGCGGCGUGCUUAACACAUGCAAGUCGAGCGGUAAGGCCCUUUCGGGGGUACACGAGCGGCGAACGGGUGAGUAACACGUGGGUGACCUGCCCUUAGCUCUGGGAUAAGCCUGGGAAACUGGGCCUAAUACCGGAUAUGACUCCAUGACGCAUGUUGUGGGGUGGAAAGCCUUGUGCGGCUAGGGAUGGGCCCGCGGCCUAUCAGCUUGUUGGUGGGGUGAUGGCCACCAAGGCGACGACGGGUAGCCGGCCUGAGAGGGCGACCGGCCACACUGGGACUGAGACACGGCCCAGACUCCUACGGGAGGCAGCAGUGGGGAAUCUUGCGCAAUGGGCGAAAGCCUGACGCAGCGACGCCGCGUGGGGGU